AGCCAUAUCAUAGCACAAAAUAAAAAAACAUAUCCGUGUUUUUUAUAUGAUUGAAACGGAGAAAUAGAUCUCACACACAUUUUUAAUACUUAUUUUCCGAUUCGUUCAUUGUCCGCGACCAAAAUGACCAUUUUAUUGCAUUCUGGGGGAACGCAGUGGGCGUCCGCUAUGAAAUUAUCCUGUGUUGCAAUGGUGAUGUUUUUGGCCUGUCCAACGACUUCCAUGGAUGUGCUGGUGCAACAACAGAUCAACGCUCUCAACGGAACUGAUGUCAGAAUCCCGUGUACAUUCACCUCAUGCUACAAGCUGGACCCCAAGCAAUUUGCCAUGAACUGGACCUAUCAGGAGACACUCAACAGCACAGAGGAGAUGUUCAUGACCUAUAAGAACAGGAUAACACCCCUGAAGCCAAGCCGAUUUGGAGAGCGAGCUAUUUUUUCGGGAAACCUAGAUAAGAAUGACCUCAGCAUCACUAUCUUAGAUGUGCAGUUGACAGACGAUGGAAUCUACAAUUGCUAUGUGCGCAACCCUCCAGAUCGCAUUCAGGGUCACGGCACCAUCCAGUUCAACGUCUUGACUGAAUUGCCACCACCAAGGGAUUCGACCAUCGCUGUCGCCAUCGGGGCAUCUGUGGGGGGCAUUCUUGCUUUGCUCAUUCUGUCCAUGGUAGUGGUGAAGUGUAUUCGUAGACAUAAGAACCAGGAGCUGAUCUCAGACGAGCAGAAGAUGGAAGAAGAGGGCAAAGUAGAUGGAGAAGGAGGAACAGAAGAAGCAACAAAACAGCCCUAACCCGCCAUCUUAGCCAUGGAGGCCUAACGUAGGGUGGAGCUCCAUCCUUCACGUUCUGAAAUUUAUGCCUCCUGCCUGAAGAUAUUUAAAAUUUGUUGUACUCUUCGUCCUGUAACGUCUCAUUCAACAUUCCUCAGUUUUCUUGUGUAGCGACCAAACAUGUCAUGUUAGGAAGAUCUCUGCCACAGUGCCAUGACGUCCAAUCACUGGUGAGAAAUCACAAAGGGUUUUAUACUGCCUCUUCCACUCAAUAUGGCAGGCUAAUGUGAUAACAACUGUGUCCUACAGAACUGUUUAUUUGGUCCACCCUUUUUUCAAAGUCAGUAUGUAUGUUUUCUUUCAACUACUGCCACUAUUAGCACUAUAAAUAUUAGCCAUCCAGUAUUUCUGCUAAGAAUUUUCUAAAAGGGAGAGUUUUAAAUUAUUCAAAGUCCUGCUUUAUUACUGCCAAAGUUACCUUUAUGGUGUUUAUACUUUUUGACAGUUUCUUGAGAAAUCACUGCCCUCAACGUCCUCUUUAUGUGGAUGCAGAAACAUAAUGUGUGUGUUUGUGUGUGUGCCUUCUCGUUGUGCCAGUUUGCAAAAUGCUGUGCUGUUUUUACAAUCCAGCAUGCACAACAGCAGAAUAUUUAGCAGUGAUACCUUGAACCUACCAUUAUGUCAGGACCAUGACUAUCCAUCAAAAUCUAUCAUUUUCUUGUUUAUAUAACACACCUCCAAAACAUGUACAAUCAUUGCAUGACAAUUUUCUUAUACAUGAUACACACAAAUUGCACAAAACAAAUCAUUACUUUGCAUAAGCAUCUGGCACAUUCUAUGAAUAGAGUACACUUUGGUGUCCCAUGACUUUUUAAAAGCAUUAAGGCCCUGACACAAAAAGCAGAUGGUCGGCCAUCGGCCAACAUCGGGCCAUCGUUGAACGUCAGUUGGCCCAGUUUUUGUGGUGUGUUCUGUACCGUCUGCACUAGUUGGACUUUGUCGGGGGUAUUUUGGCCGAUUGAGCACGUCAUCUUACCUUAU